UACAGAGGUGGCAAGCGUUGUUCGGAAUUACUGGGCGUAAAGGGCGCGUAGGCGGUCUUGUAAGUCUUGUGUGAAAUCCCUCGGCUUAACUGAGGAACUGCACGGGAUACUGCGAGACUUGAGUUCGGGAGAGGGAAGCGGAAUUCCGGGUGUAGCGGUGAAAUGCGUAGAUAUCAGGAAGAACACCCGUGGCUAAGGCGGCUCUCUAGUACGGUACUGACGCUGAGACGCGAAAGCGUGGGGAGCGAACAGG
rnacentral:rRNA from 1 species